CUUUACUAAAUGGAUCAGAGUCUGAAAAACUCAAAAAUUUUUGUGUUGUCAUCAGCUUCGUCUCUUAUUUGUCCCACGGGAAUGGAGUUAAAUAACAGCACUAAAUUU